CCUCCUACGGGGGGCUGCAGUGGGGAAUAUUGCACAAUGGGCGAAAGCCUGAUGCAGCAACGCCGCGUGAGGGACGACGGCCUUCGGGUUGUAAACCUCUUUUAGCAGGGAAGAAGCGAAAGUGACGGUACCUGCAGAAAAAGCACCGGCUAACUACGUGCCAGCAGCCGCGGUAAUACGUAGGGUGCAAGCGUUGUCCGGAAUUAUUGGGCGUAAAGAGCUCGUAGGCGGUUUGUCGCGUCUGCUGUGAAAACGCGAGGCUCAACCUCGCGCCUGCAGUGGGUACGGGCAAACUAGAGUGCGGUAGGGGAGAUUGGAAUUCCUGGUGUAGCGGUGGAAUGCGCAGAUAUCAGGAGGAACACCGAUGGCGAAGGCAGAUCUCUGGGCUGUAACUGACGCUGAGGAGCGAAAGCAUGGGGAGCGAACAGGAUUAGAUACCCUGGUAGUC
rnacentral:rRNA from 1 species